UCCUGGAUAGCUCAGUUGGUAGAGCAAUCGGCUGUUAACCGAUCGGUCGUAGGUUCGAGUCCUACUCCAGGAGCCA
rnacentral:tRNA from 1 species